GAACGCCGUGUGCGGUGAAAGCCGCACGCACGGUGUGAAGCGGGGGAAAAGAAGUAGUCCUCCCGGGGCAACCCGCGGACGAACCUUACCUAUCGCUAU
rnacentral:ncRNA from 1 species